UUUUUCUGCCUUUUCUAAAUUUCCUCUAAAAACACAUACGGUACUUUUACAAUUAGGAAUAAAACCCUUGUUUUCAAAUGAAUUUCCCCAAAUGUCAAUUCUUAAGUCAUGAACGAUUUUAUUUCUUGUCAGGAUGAAGCAAAGGAGGACAUGCAUGUCUUGCAAGGGAGAAAAAAAGGCAUCGAGAGAGACAGCACGCAAUAAACACCUAAUUUUGUUUCUGAUCUCGUGCCUGUUUGAAGAGCUCACACUUGUUCUGACUCAGCUGGAGAAGUCAGCUCCUCUGACCCAGUCACAGUUUCCACCAGCUGUUUUGGAUGUUUGAGUGAGGUUUUUGUUGCAGUGAACCCCGCUGCCUACCCCUUGAGCCAGCUCAGGAACAAUUGUAAAGGAAGUCUCUGAGGCCGACACAGAGGAGGCCUGCUCAUCUCAUGACAUCCACAAGGAUUUGAGAGGCAGCCCCUUCUGGGCUGUUUCUGUUUUUCUUCUCUGGCAGGUCUCUUGAUGUCAGAGAGAUGGGCCAUCUCUCGGGUCUGGGGGUUUGGAUGGAGAGUCCGUGACCGCAGCUGUGCCCAGUCAUUCUGAUUGACCUCUUGGAAGGCGACGACUGCAUGUCAGUACGAAGAUGUGCGUGCUGAACCCUGAGCUGGGAAACUUUGGUUUUUGCUCUUGAGGCCUUCCAGCGAUUGGAUGAGAGCCGCUGUGUUAUCAAGGUGGAGAACAACUUGGUUGGAAAGGAUACUCAUCAAUCAAUAUGAAGAAAAAAGGAAGCUGUUGUAGGAAUCCAGCCCAUUAUAGGUUGCGACAUGCAGGUGAAAAUAACAAGGUCCGCUCAGGAGAGGGGUUCUGGAGGCGAGCCAUACCCCCGCAGGAGAGCUUGCUUUAGCUACAGGUCUAGACCUCACUACAUGACAUCAUCUCCCGUCUACUGUGACCUGUGAUGUCAGUUGAAUAUCCAGCCAUAAAAGGACGCAGAAGCAGCCAGCAAAUGGGAGGACUUUCCCCUCAUUUCACAAAAUUCUACCAACAUGUACGGAAGCACAAGUCCAUGAGCACAUACACGGUGAAUUCCCACUGGCCUGUGAUUAUGUUCCCACCUCCACUGACUACCCAAACUGAUUUCUAAUUGAUUUUGGAAUACAUUUCAAAUUACUCUACCUCCUGGUAUGCAUUUAGCAUAACCUCAUAUUCCUAUUUUAGCACGUUCUGAUAGAAUCAGAGGACUGGAUCAUAAUGAAGGGGACUGACUGAAGAAGUGGCCUGACAUAUUUAAAGUAACCAUGGAAAUGUACAAAAGAGAUGAUUGAUAGUAAGAUAAUGAGACCAUGCAAAUAUUUUCUUUUCAUUGUCUUCUUUAGCCUAAUUAAUUCCUUUCUAAUGACUGUUUAAUCUUAUAUGCAUUUCCAAGUAAUUCCACUAUGGUUUUUCUCGUUGAUUUUUCACAAUGACUAAAUGUGCUAAGUGAAAUAUUCUUAAUUUUUCUGGGGCAGGAGUGUAGACCUUGGGAAUAUUUCAACUUUUUUUAGUAACUGAUAACUUUUCCGACUUACAGAUCAGGGUUGAGUUGGUGACAAUUUUUUAAGAAAUUGACUUUCUUGAAAGAAAAUAAAAGCUGACUCUGAGCAAGUCUCAAGACUUGAGAAAUUUGAGUUUUAGCUGUAUUUUUUUUGUCAGUAGAUAACUUUUAGCAAAUCAACUCAGACAUACAAAGAAAAUAUAGAGUUGGUUUAAGCAAGGCAUCAACAAAAACACAAAUACAGAAAAGGCAAAUUGCAUCUCCAUAAAUAAACAUAUCUGGGGUCUGGUAAGUCUGUCCAGCCCACAACAGAUAGAAAUAUGGGUUAUGUUUUGUGAAGCAGGUUCUAAUUCUAGAAUUUUGGCUACAUGUUCUUUAUUCCUUAUACCUGUUUUCAAAGGACCAUGCCGUUAGUAUCCACAUAUUUUUUGUUAAAAAUGUAUUGAUGUGUAUUUGCAAUACCCUUGAGACAGAUACCAAAAUGUUAACAUUGGUAUCAAUACAAAGUAACAUAAAUGCUCUAAAGGAAAGAAUGAGAGAAAAGAAAGAAGAAAAAUCAUCUCAUGUCUGUAUUAUUUCAUCAUUAAAGUAGAGUUACAUUAAAAGUAGAGAAAAGAAAGGUGUGCAUGUACAUACAUAUAUAAAAAGGCAUUCACACUUAUCUCAAAAACAUGCCAAAUCUCCAUUUAAAUUCCAUGGUGUUUAUUAUUUUGAACCCAUCUGAAAUUUCUUCUUACUGAGAUGUUUGGACUAGGCACGUGUAAUUUGAGUAGUUGUGGGCAUUUGUCUAGUAGGAAAUUUUCAGCCAUUAAUAUAAUGUAAUUUAAUUUAAUUUCUACUGAAACAUAAAAUUCUAUACUUUUCUGCAAACUCAAAACUAGGCUCUAUGUCUACUGUGAUAUGAGGGAUUGCCUAAAAUGGUUUUCUCUUACUAAAACCUUUCUUAUACUUUGAGAACCAUUUAAAUAUAUAUUGGGCUAAAGUUGGUCUUAUGAAACCAGUCCCAUUAUUUUUUAUAGGCCACAUAUUAUAACUGUGAAUAUUGUUUCUAAAAAAGAAAAAAUAGUC